rnacentral:rRNA from 1 species
UGCAGGCUGAAACUCGCCUGCAUGAAGUCGGAAUUGCUAGUAAUCGCGGAUCAGCAUGCCGCGGUGAAUACGUUCCCGGGCCUUGUACACACCGCCCGUCACACCAUGGGAGUCGGUAACACCCGAAGCCUGUAGUCUAACCGUGAGGAGGACGCAGUCGAAGGUGGGAUUGAUGACUGGGGUGAAGUCGUAACAAGGUACC